GGGUCAACGAGUGUGUUGUGUUCCGUUUUGAUUCGGGUCGGUUGUUUGCUUUGUCCCGGAGCAUCGUUAGAUGAAGAUCCAGAUAUUUUGAUUCCAAUGUCGUAUCAAAGCCAUGUUCGUUCGAAAUUCUGUUUCCAUAUUCGAAUAUUACCGUGACGAAUCACCGAGAAGCAGAAGCAUGGUUCACCAGCGGAACGUUAAACCAGAAGAAACCGGAACCGUCAACUGAUUUGCGAGUAUCCUCAAUUUAAGGGGUUGAAGCAAAUGUUAAAGGUGUUCGGUAACAACGAACUGAUACCUGUCGAGAGGAACAACCAGGACUAAUUUUUGUAAAAUCUGUCCAUGAUCAUCUUACGUAAGAUUCGAGAGGAAAAUUGACCGAUUAUGGUUAAUAUUCAUUUGAAUGUCAAUAAUACUUGGAUGAACCUGGAAAACGAUGAGGUA